rnacentral:piRNA from 1 species
UUUUGUGUAUUUGAAAAAUAAGGU